rnacentral:rRNA from 1 species
ACGGGAGGCAGCAGUGGGGAAUAUUGCACAAUGGGCGCAAGCCUGAUGCAGCAACGCCGCGUGAAGGAAGACGGUUUUCGGAUUGUAAACUUCUGUUCUUAGUGAAGAAAUUUGACGGUAGCUAAGGAGCAAGCCACGGCUAACUACGUGCCAGCAGCCGCGGUAAUACGUAGGUGGCAAGCGUUGUCCGGAAUUACUGGGUGUAAAGGGCGCGUAGGCGGGGAUGCAAGUCAGGUGUGAAAUCUAUGGGCUUAACUCAUAAACUGCACUUGAAACUGUAUCUCUUGAGUGCUGGAGAGGUAGAUGGAAUUCCUUGUGUAGCGGUGAAAUGCGUAGAUAUAAGGAAGAACACCAGUGGCGAAGGCGAUCUACUGGACAGUAACUGACGCUGAGGCGCGAAAGCGUGGGGAGCAAACAGGAUUAGAUACCCUGGUA